rfam:Perkinsus marinus ATCC 50983 gcontig_1104296303448, whole genome shotgun sequence.
GGUUUUAUGGUGUAACGGUUAGCACUCCAGACUCUGAAUCUGGCGAUCUGGGUUCAAAUCCGGGUAAAACCU